GAAAUGCGAUACGCAAUGCGAAUUGCAGAAUCCGCGAGUCAUCAGAUCUUUGAACGCAAUUGGCGCCGAUCGUAUCGGCAUGUUUGUUUCAGUGUGGAAGGAAUCACAAAUCAUAAUGCGAUUGAAAAAAAUUUAUUUUUCUCUCGUUAAACACGUCCGGUGUCUGUGAGAAUAUCAUGGGAACACCCACGAACGAAGUAGUCUCAUUUAUGAGAUCUCGUUUGUAAAGGGUAAAAUAAAAAUCUCUGUAUUCACUAAAAGCAGGCUCCAAAAAAACAAAAACUAAAAAAAGUAACAUUUUUUUCUCUCUUACACCUGAAAUCAAGCAAGACGACCCGCUGAACUUAA
rnacentral:misc_RNA from 1 species